UUCACCUACGGGACGCAGCAGGGAGGAAUAUUGGUCAAUGGGGGAGAUCCUGAACCAGCCAAGCCGCGUGAGGGAAGACGGCCCUAUGGGUUGUAAACCUCUUUUGUCGGAGAACAAAACGCGGGACGUGUCCCGGACUGCGUGUAUCCGAAGAAAAAGCCUCGGCUAACUCCGUGCCAGCAGCCGCGGUAAUACGGAGGAUGCGAGCGUUAUCCGGAUUUAUUGGGUUUUAAGGGUGCGUAGGCGGUCCGUUAAG
rnacentral:rRNA from 1 species